GCCUCAUUGGCUCAGGGGCAGAGCGUCAGUCUAGUAAACAGAAGGUCGCUGGGUCGAUUCCAGCAUGAGGUG
rnacentral:tRNA from 1 species